rnacentral:rRNA from 1 species
UACAGAGGUCCCGAGCGUUGUUCGGAUUUAUUGGGCGUAAAGGGUGCGUAGGUGGCAAAGUAAGUUGGAUGUGAAAUCCUGGGGCUUAACCUCAGAAUUGCAUUCAAUACUGCUUAGCUAGAGAGCUGUAGAGGAGACUGGAAUUUACGGUGUAGCAGUGAAAUGCGUAGAGAUCAUGAGGAAGACCAGUGGCGAAGGCGGGUCGCUGGGACGGUACUGACGCUGAGGCGCGAAAGCUAGGGGAGCAAACGGG